GUGAGUGAUCUGCACGAACACAAAUACUCUUAUCUCGCUGGAAUCUUGACGGAUUUACAAACGGUUUGGUUUCUUACAAACGUUAUUAACGUGGCUAUAAUUCUGGAUGCUUGAACAUGUUGAAAUUGCAGCUUUUCUUUUCGAAAAACGACUUAAUCGUGCAGCAUAGUUGUGUAUCACUGCUACUUGCGCAAGUUAUCAAGGCUGAGACCACAAUCGAGCUGUUCAAUUAUAUAGGUUUUACUGACACCAAUAACGAUUUUAUGAUGACUAAUCUUUUGUCUAAAUUACAGUCUUUGUGGAUGUGGUUGUAGUUAUUAGCUGGCUAAUAACAAGAAGCUUUGAGUGAGACCUAGUAGCAGCUAACGUUACAGUUUAGCAUAGCUAUGACAUAAUAGUAUUACAAGAUUGUUGUUGACCCAAGGCUUUUUAGAAGUUUGUUUACACAAUCGCUGAAUGUUUCUUUUGGACACCUUUUUAUAACUAGUUUAGUGUAGUUGUCUUAUUCUAAAGUACAUACAUGCAUACAUGAUGCAUACAUGCACACAUGCAUACAUACAAUUACCCCAAACAUAUGAUAAUUUAGGUGUGUAUUUUUGUCCUUACCGUUAAUGUUGAAAGAAGGAAAAAAAGGUUGGAAAUGUUGACAAUAAUUUAUAUAUCUGGGUACGUUUCUCACGUUUUUAAGGUUUCCCAAAACCGGAAAGAUGAGGAGGCAGUGGGAACUUGCUCUAAGAAGGGACGGUUUUGUUGCCUCUGACAGGACACUGCUCUGCAGUGAGCACUUCAGGAGUGAGGACUUUGACAGAACGGGGCAGAAUGUCCGGCUUAAAGAUGGUGUUGUGCCAACCAUUUUCAACUUUCAGGCUCAUCUUCAAAGGCUGGUAGCAACAAGAAGCCCAACCACCUCUAGAAGAGCGGAAAACAACCUGCCAACGGACUUGUCUCAGGAUGCACCUCAACCUGAUGUUGUGAGUAUUUGCAUGUGGAAUAUCAAACAAAUGAGAGCAUUAUAUGGCUUAUUAUAUUAAAUCCUUUGUCUUGGUGGUACCCAGAAAGGUCUAUGAUGGUGUUAGUAGUCUAAGAGCCCAAUAUUAUUUGAGGUGGUACUCUGUGUAAAAAGUUUGAGAACUACUGGCUAUCUCACUUGCUCUGUCACUCAUACACUUGAAUCAAUAAACAUGUGUGAACAUUGAAACUACACCCAGGGGUAGGCAACCUUUUCAAUCAAAAGAGCCAACCCAGAGUUGGGACCAGCAAGCAGAGCUGCUGUCUGUAUAAAAUCCUCCUCCUCACCUAUAAAAGCUCUUCACGGUCAGGCCCCUUCAUAUCUUUAAAGAGCUCAUAGUACCCUAUUACCUUUUUUUUAGAACACUACGUUCUCUGAAUGCAGGGCUACUUGUGGUUCCUAUAGUCUCUAAAAGUAGAACAGGAGCCAGAGCCUUCAGUUACCAAGCUCCUCUCCUGUGGAACCAGCUUCCAGUUGUGGUUUGGGAGGGAGACACCCUCUCCACAUUUGAGAGUAGGCUUAAGACGUUGCUCUUUGAUAAAGCUUAUAGUUAGGGCUGGAUCAGGUGAGUCCUGAACCAUCCCUUAGUUAUGCUGCUAUAGGCCUAGACUAUCGGGGGAUUUCCCAUGGUGCACUGUCUCUUCCUCUCUCUCUCUUUCUGCACUCAUUCAUGUCCCAUUAAUGCAUGUUACUAACUUCACUUCUUCCCCGGAGUUCUUGUGCUUUCUCGUCUCGCAGGUUCUCAUCGAUCCUAGUGGAGCCUCCUGCCAUGGUCCUGCUUGACUGCCAUUGCCAAUACUAUUGUUGCUGUGCACCUGUCUGUCUGUCUGUCUGUCUGUCUCUCUCUCUCACUCUCUCUCUCUCUCUCUCUCUCUCUCUCUCACCCCAACUGGUCGAGUCAGACGACCACCCACCUAGAGCCAAAUGGUCUGUCCUAGGUUUCUGCCUCUUAACAGGCAGUUUUUCCUUGCCCUUGUCUCCAAGGUCUUGCUCAUGGUGGUACUGUUGAUUCUCUGUAAAUAAUGUUAUAAGGAGUUUGGUCUAGACCUGCUCUAUUUGAAAAGUGUCCUGAGAUAACUUUUGUUAUGAAUUGGCGCUAUACAAAUAAAAUUGAAUGAUUGAAUUGAAUUGAAUUUUUUGAAUUUUGUAUCUCUAUCAACAUGCAGCAUUUCUUUAUGUAUAUUUGUAAAGGGAAAUCUUGUACCUAUUUUUUAUUGCAAAUAAA
rnacentral:lncRNA from 1 species